rnacentral:rRNA from 1 species
UACGUAGGUGGCAAGCGUUGUCCGGAAUUAUUGGGCGUAAAGCGCGCGCAGGCGGUCCUUUAAGUCUGAUGUGAAAGCCCACGGCUCAACCGUGGAGGGUCAUUGGAAACUGGGGGACUUGAGUACAGAAGAGAAGAGUGGAAUUCCUGGUGUAGCGGUGAAAUGCGUAGAGAUGUGGAGGAACACCAGUGGCGAAGGCGACUCUUUGGUCUGUAACUGACGCUGAGGCGCGAAAGCGUGGGGAGCAAACAGG